CAGUGGGGAAUCUUGUGCAAUGGACGAAAGUCUGACACAGCCACGCCGCGUGCGGGAAGAAGGCCUUCGGGUUGUAAACCGCUUUCAGCAGGAACGAAAAUGACGGUACCUGCAGAAGAAGGAGCGGCCAACUACGUGCCAGCAGCCGCGGUGACACGUAGGCUCCAAGCGUUGUCCGGAUUUAUUGGGCGUAAAGAGCUCGUAGGCGGUUCAGCAAGUCGGGUGUGAAAACUCUGGGCUCAACCCAGAGCCUGCACCCGAAACUGCUGUGACUAGAGUUCGGUAGGGGAGUGGGGAAUUCCUAGUGUAGCGGUGAAAUGCGCAGAUAUUAGGAGGAACACCGAUGGCGAAGGCACCACUCUGGGCCGAAACUGACGCUGAGGAGCGAAAGCGUGGGUAGCAAACAGGAUUAGAUACCCU
rnacentral:rRNA from 1 species